rnacentral:rRNA from 1 species
AACGAACGCUGGCGGCGCGCCUAAUACAUGCAAGUCGAGCGAGAAGACGUAGCAAUACGUUUGUAAAGCGGCGAACGGGUGAGGAAUACAUGGGUAACCUACCCUCGAGUGGGGAAUAACUAGCCGAAAGGUUAGCUAAUACCGCGUACGCUCCUUGGACUUCGGUUCAGGGAGGAAAGCGAUACCGUGGGUAUCGCGCUCUUGGAUGGGCUCAUGUCCUACCAGCUUGUUGGUGAGGUAACGGCUCACCAAGGCUUCGACGGGUAGCUGGUCUGAGAGGACGAUCAGCCACACUGGCACUGCGACACGGGCCAGACUCCUACGGGAGCAGCAGUAAGGAAUAUUGCGCAAUGGGCGAAAGCCUGACG